rnacentral:rRNA from 1 species
GUUUGAUCCUGGCUCAGAACGAACGCUGGCGGCAUGCCUAACACAUGCAAGUCGAACGAAGUCCUUCGGGGCUUAGUGGCGCACGGGUGCGUAACGCGUGGGAAUCUGCCCUUGGGUUCGGAAUAACAGUUAGAAAUGACUGCUAAUACCGGAUGAUGUCUUCGGACCAAAGAUUUAUCGCCCAAGGAUGAGCCCGCGUAGGAUUAGGUAGUUGGUGGGGUAAAGGCCUACCAAGCCGACGAUCCUUAGCUGGUCUGAGAGGAUGAUCAGCCACACUGGGACUGAGACACGGCCCAGACUCCUACGGGAGGCAGCAGUGGGGAAUAUUGGACAAUGGGGGCGACCCUGAUCCAGCAAUGCCGCGUGAGUGAUGAAGGCCUUAGGGUCGUAAAGCUCUUUUACCAGGGAUGAUAAUGACAGUACCUGGAGAAUAAGCUCCGGCUAACUCCGUGCCAGCAGCCGCGGUAAUACGGAGGGAGCUAGCGUUGUUCGGAAUUACUGGGCGUAAAGCGCACGUAGGCGGUUAUUCAAGUCAGAGGUGAAAGCCCGGGGCUCAACCCCGGAACUGCCUUUGAAACUAGAUGACUGGAAUCUUGGAGAGGUCAGUGGAAUUCCGAGUGUAGAGGUGAAAUUCGUAGAUAUUCGGAAGAACACCAGUGGCGAAGGCGACUGACUGGACAAGUAUUGACGCUGAGGUGCGAAAGUGUGGGGAGCAAACAGGAUUAGAUACCCUGGUAGUCCACGCCGUAAACGAUGAUAACUAGCUGUCCGGGUACUUGGUACUUGGGUGGCGCAGCUAACGCAUUAAGUUAUCCGCCUGGGGAGUACGGUNNCAAGAUUAAAACUCAAAGGAAUUGACGG